CGUAGGGGGCUAGCGUUGUCCGGAUUUAUUGGGCGUAAAGCGCGUGUAGGCGGCCGGCUAGGUCUGGUGUGAAAACUCGAGGCUCAACCUCGAGAUGUCGCCGGAAACCAGUCGGCUAGAGUCCGGAAGAGGAGAGUGGAAUUCCUGGUGUAGCGGUGAAAUGCGCAGAUAUCAGGAAGAACACCUAUGGCGAAAGCAGCUCUCUGGGACGGUACUGACGCUGAGACGCGAAAGCGUGGGGAGCGAACAGGAUUAGAUACCCUGGUAGUCCACGCCGUAAACGAUGGGCGCUAGGUGUGGGCGGUGUCGACUCCGUCCGUGCCGAAGCUAACGCAUUAAGCGCCCCGCCUGGGGAGUACGGCCGCAAGGCUA
rnacentral:rRNA from 1 species